GACGAACGCUGGCGGCGCGCUUAACACAUGCAAGUCGAACGAUGAAGCUGGAGAUUGCUCCGGUGGAUUAGUGGCGAACGGGUGAGUAACACGUGAGUAAUCUGCCCUUGACUCUGGGAUAACUGCGGGAAACUGUAGCUAAUACCGGAUACGACAACUCCGGGCAUCCGAUGGGUGUGGAAAGAAUUUCGGUCAAGGAUGAACGCGCGGCCUAUCAGCUGGUUGGUGAGGUAAUGGCACACCAAGGCGACGACCGGUAGCAGGCCGGAGAGGUUGACCGGCCAUACUGGGACGCAGACACGGCCCAGACUCCUACGGGAGGCAGCAGUGGGGAACAUUGCACAAUGGGCGAAAGCCUGAUGCAGCAUCGCUGCGUGAGAGAUGAAGGGAAUCGGGUUGUAAACCUCUUUUAGUUGGUAAGAAGCGAAAGUGACGGUACCAACAGAAAAAGCACCGGCUAACUACGUGCCAGCAGCUGCGGGAA
rnacentral:rRNA from 1 species